rnacentral:rRNA from 1 species
GAUCGAGUUUGAUCCUGGCUCAGAUUUGAACGCUGGCGGAAUGCUUUACACAUGUAAGUCGAACGGUAGAGGGGGCAACCCCUUGAGAGUGGCGAACGGGUGAGUAAUAUAUCGGAACGUGCCCAGUCGUGGGGGAUAACGUAGUGAAAAUUACGCUAAUACCGCAUACGAUCUAAGGAUGAAAGCGGGGGAUCGCAAGACCUCGCGCGAUUGGAGCGGCCGAUAUCAGAUUAGGUAGUUGGUGAGGUAACGGCUCACCAAGCCAACGAUCUGUAGCUGGUCUGAGAGGACGACCAGCCACACUGGCACUGAGAUACGGGCCAGACUCCGUACGGGAGGCAGCAGUA